CAACAUUGUUAUAUCCACUGAGUUGCAAAGAGUGAGUUUUAUGGACCAAUAACUGACCAGAAUCUUACCUUCUUUUUCAGAUUGAUAAAAAAGUAUUGGACUCUAUGGUUUAUCCGGGCAAAGAGAAAGGCAACAAGAGGGUCCCAAGAAAAUAUGGCCGGGAAGUAAUAGAUUUAUUAAAGUUAAUUAGGAAUAUGGCUGAGCACUACAAUGAAAAGGACAAUGAGGUGAAAAAAAUAAUUCAGGAUCCUGCAGACUAUUUUCUGAACCUUUUUCCAGAUUUAACCCUUCAUAUCUAUCAGCUUUUGUAUGACUCGGAGUACAGCAAAUAUUUUCCAAAUGCAAAGAAUUCUUCACACCCGUAACAUGGGUCAGUGGACAUUGGUUGUUUAAUGACAUAAUUGUAUGUGACUUACAUAUAGAGAAUAGAAUUUUUUAUUGGCCAAGUGUGAUUGGACACACAAGGAAUUUGUCUUGGUGCAAAUACUCUCAGUGUGCAUAAAAGAAAAGACACAUUCGUCGAGAGUCAAGAAUCAUAAAGUACAACCCUUAAUAAUAGUCAUAGGGUACAAUAAGCAAUCUUAUCAUACUAGGAAACAGUCAAUAUAACAGUCAGUAUAUUUUCUAACUAAAACCAAUCAAUAGUUUAAUCAGCACUUAAUACUAUAUGUCAUCCUGGAAAAUCUUCUUUAGACCUUCUCUUACUCAUUGACAAUCUAGUCUAGUCAAACUACAACUGCUAAUUAAGGUACCCCCAGAGAAAUCAAAUAAUGCAGAAUGUACAGUUGUCAAAUUUGCAACCGUGUUCCCACAGCAUUGGACAAAGCAUGGUGGAGUUGCAUAUCUGCUUCCUUUCCAACCUAAUAUGUUGUAUUUGUUAAUGGAACUGCAGAUAUAGGAGUUUAUAUCUCAAAGUCAGUUUCUGUCCAAAAGAAGCCCCUUAUCCUUUUUAGUGAGUGGAGAACCUCUGCUUUCAAGCACUUUUAUUGUAACCCCACAGGGGCAGAAUACAAGGCUCUGCCCGCUUGGCAAGGUUGAAGAAGCAACUUACAUAGUUAUGCAACACAUUUGGUCAGUUAAUGAGAUCCUACAGACAUAGCUCCCCUUCCUUGAAACCCAGAAUCCCCUUUGUCUUAUCCAAUAGUAUCAAAUGAAGCCACAGCAGCCAGAAUUCUCACAACUACUCCUUGAGGUUUCACUUUGCUUUUAUUGAGCUGCAUGAGCUAUUCCUAUCGCUCUGCUUUGCAAGCAGAGGUCAGUGCUUUUUAGCAAGCUGAAAUCAUUUUUUACUAGCUAAGCUAUUUCUUCGGUCAGGUUUUAAGUGUACGUGGGCUUAAAGAUAAUAAAGCGGUACAUAAAAAUUAUUAUUUUUGUCACUGAAAUUCUGAGUGUGCUCUGCAGGCUGCAAAAUAAAUAAAUGGGAGGCCAGUGACCAUCAUUGCCUACCUAAGAGCUGUAUGAUGAGUGAGUCCAGUCCCU
rnacentral:lncRNA from 1 species